GGGAUGUGUUUUGGAACAUUUGGUAUGUGGCUUUAUGAUGCUACCUACUGAAUUUGGAAUGAGUUUGUCAGCAAAUGUAGUAACUUCAGUAACCAAAACAGGGUUCAGGGUCAGCAUGGAAACAGAGGAGUGUUUGCUGAAUUUCAGUUCCCAAUUCCAUGUACACAAUUAACAUCUUCAUUAUUUAAAUUCUACAUAAAACCUUAGGGGGGAAAAGAGAUGAACCUGCAGCCUGCUGAACAGCGUGAUUCAGCUAGUAUGCUUUUAGAAUUGGGAAGAGCGAAAGAAGUUUCAAAUCAAGCAAAAAGGAAACCCUACCAAGACACUGACUGUCCUACUGUGUGGAAGUCUCUUGAAGCUAUCAUAUCUCAUAUGAAUAACUAAUAGCCUCUGGGUCAAAGAGUAACGGCAAGGUUGAACAUUUCAAUUCCAUAACUCUUUCAUUUUGGAAAAAUAGCAGAUGCAACAAGAGGUUGUAAAAAGCUCGCCCUGAGGUAGCUCAUAGCUUGUGAGUGCACUCACAAGGAGGAUGAGGCUGGAUGUUGGGCAACUUAUUUACCAGUCAUUAGCUAUAUCAGAGCGUGUCUGCAUUUUUCACAGAAAGACUCAGUUGACAUUAUGGGCUCUAUAAAACAGAAAUCAAAUUGCAGAAGUGGAAAACAGUAUUUCCAGCUCUGCAUCUACACGGUGCUUGAUAAGAAGCUUCUUUGACAAGCAGAACAGAGGAUGGUUAAGACCAAGUACGUUGUCAGCAGAAGUCACUGCAGCCCCACAAAACUAGCUGUUCCCAGCUCACUUCUUUAUUCUCCUUCCUUCUCUCUCUGUCCCUCCAUUAAUAGAGAAUUUUGGGAAGGAGUUUUGCUUGUGUGCUUUCCUACUUAUGCAUUCAUCAUGUGAAGGCUGUGCAGAAUGGCUGUGGAAUGUCUGCAACAGUACUGUAAGAAUACAUUGAAUGAUAAGUGUGCUUAAAACUGCACAUGUGUGUCUUCAAAAGCAUGAACAAGAGUUCAGGAAACAGACCUGAGCAAGAAAAGGAUUUGUGGGUAUAGUUUAGUUUCUGAAGACAGACGCAGCCUGAUCUGUGCAGUGUGACACAGCCCAUACUUUAUAACAAGACAGUUUUAAUCCUCCAUUCUAAUACACAUGUUAAUGGUAAAGAAAAUAUGUAAUUUGUUAGAUACUACUCAUGGAAAUGUGAGUACGCUGGGUUGAAUUCUAAGUGGCUUUUAGUUUUUGCCAGUAUCUUUCGUAGCCAAGUUAUGUUGCUUUGGCUUAAACAUCUUUAGUUUGCCUUUUCUACUUACAGCUUAAUCGUCUACGAAAUUGUCAGUCUUUGGAUUUCUGACUCUAAGGGAGGGAAGAAAGUCAUAAACUAUAUCAUCUGCUGAGACUAAAAGAACAUUUUCAAGAUGUAGUCAUUGAGGCACAGGAGACUGAGUUUCUGGGGGAGCUGUAAGGAAAGUACUCUGUGAUGAACUUGACAGCUGUAUCCAAUAUUUGAAGAAAGCAACUUCGGGAGAGCGAUGUGGCAUAAAGUUGCAUCUGUUUUUGUUGAGGAGCUCUGAGUAUGAGGGGUCAUGUAGGCUGAGCUAUGUAGAGUUGCUCAGCUACUUAUCUGUUUCCUAGAUGAGGUUGUCAGAUGCAUGUGCUCUAAAGCCAAGGAAGUGUGAUCUUAUACACAUUGAGGAAAUGCCCCUUUCUGCAUUGCAGUCUAAUGUUCAGGGUAUUUUUGAGCCUGAAAAGUUUUGAGCUGCCUGCUACGUGUGAGGGACGUGUCACUGCUGGCACUGAUACUUGUUUAGGGCUUCUCUCCAGCUUGCCAGAGCUGUGCAGUCAGAAAUAAAGAGCAACUCAGCAAAAAGCAGUACACAAAGUGCAUAAGAGGCCCCUUCAUCUGCUGCAGGGGGAGUGAGAGGAUGCUGCCCAGAUAAAGCUGUGAUCUCUGAUAGAUGGAUAGAUGGAAAAUGCUGCAAAUGUCCAUCCGUCCACUGCAGAGACCCCAGCGAAUGACAG
ensembl:lncRNA